rnacentral:rRNA from 1 species
UUCCUACGGGGCGCAGCAGUGGGGAAUAUUGCACAAUGGGGGGAACCCUGAUGCAGCGACGCCGCGUGAGUGAAGAAGUAUUUCGGUAUGUAAAGCUCUAUCAGCAGGGAAGAAAAUGACGGUACCUGACUAAGAAGCCCCGGCUAACUACGUGCCAGCAGCCGCGGUAAUACGUAGGGGGCAAGCGUUAUCCGGAAUUACUGGGUGUAAAGGGAGCGCAGACGGCAGUGCAAGUCUGGAGUGAAAGACCGUGGCUUAACUACGGGACUGCUCUGGAAAAUGUGCAGCUAGAGUGCAGGAGAGGG